GACUCUGUAGCUCAAAGGUAAGAGCGCACCAUUCCAGCCAACGCCAUGUCCACCGGUGAGGUCCGAGGUUCGAAUCCCGGCAGGUCCA
rnacentral:tRNA from 1 species